AUUGAACGCUAGCGGGAUGCUUUACACAUGCAAGUCGAACGAGUGGCGGACGGGUGAGUAAUAUAUCGGAACGUGCCCAGUAGCGGGGGAUAACUAAUCGAAAGAGUGGCUAAUUCAGCAAAAUAUUGGAGCGGCCGAUAUCGGAUUAGCGAGUUGGUGGGGUAAAGGCAUACCAAGGCAACGAUCCGUAGCUGGUUUGAGAGGACGACCAGCCACACUGGGAGUGAGACACGUCCCCGACUCUAACGGGAGGCAGCAGUGGGGAAGUUUGCACAAUGGGCACAAGCCUGAUGCAGCCAUGCCGCGUGUAUGAGAAGGCCUUCGGGUUGUAAAGUACUUUCAGCGGGGAGGCGUUACCCGCAGAAGAGGCACCGGCUAACUCCGUGCCAGCCGCCGCGGUAAUAC
rnacentral:rRNA from 1 species